UACGUAGGGUGCAAGCGUUGUCCGGAAUUAUUGGGCGUAAAGAGCGUGUAGGCGGUCCGGUUAGUCCGCUGUGAAAGUCCAGGGCUCAACCCUGGAAUGCCGGUGGAUACUGUCGGGCUAGAGUCCGGAAGGGGCGAGUGGAAUUCCUGGUGUAGCGGUGAAAUGCGCAGAUAUCAGGAGGAACACCAAUGGCGAAGGCAGCUCGCUGGGAAGUGACUGACGCUGAGACGCGAAAGCGUGGGGAGCAAACAGG
rnacentral:rRNA from 1 species